UUCUACAUUUAUAUCUCUCAAGGGCCGACAGCGGCUUCCACCUGAAACCCCUCCGUGGGCUUAAAACCCCAUAUUCGCCAUCUCGCCGGAGCUUUACCACCAUGCGCCGGGCUCCUCAUAUGUCUAUUUUAUUUCUCACCUGUUUGAUGACUCUUCUGGGGAAGCCCACAGCCCAGCCAUUGGACUUUGGACCUUGCGAAGCUGGUAGCCUGAGAUGAGGUUUCUGUGAAGAUCUACACCGAGAACGCUCCGAUGGAGCCUUGGAAACAGGAAAGCAGUUGGCUACGACGAGGAAAUGCCGCUGCAUUUUGAUCAGAUAUGUUGAGCAAGGUAAGUGUUUGGAAUCAAAUUCCAACAUCCGACUCUUCUUCAGGUUAAGGAUAUCUCCUGGCUAAGAUGGCUGUCAAGAGAAAGAGAGGCUUAGCUUGUCAAAGACCUUGAUUCAAGCUGCAGGUUGGGCUCUAGGUAGUUGGAGGCUGUGAGAAGGUCCUAGCUUCCUUCUUCCUUGGGGUUUGAAAGCUUGAGCCAUAAGGGAUGGGGUGAGGGUGGUGAGAACAUAGAGAGUUUUUCUUCCUCACUAUAAAUUGAAAGAGUGGUAGAUCAGGAAGGCAGCUUCUAUCCGGAUUAGAUUCUUUGUGAUAAUCGAAUCUACAAUCGGGAUUCUACUCUUCAUUUUCUUUCAUUCUUGUUUCGAUUCUCUGGAGGGCGGUAGAUGUGCUGUUCAAUUCUUGUGCUUGGGCUGAAAUUGAAAAGCUUGGUGGCUAGAGGAUCUGUGAUCAGAGUGGUAAAAGGGCUUGUUAUUCUUGUAAUCAGAUGGACAUUACAUCAAUAAAUCUAAGUCCCAAUUUGUCACCGUGGAUGUAGGCAUCCGCGUGUGAAACCACGGGUCCCUUCAUUCUGAGGCUUAAUUUCAAAUCUGUUUGAUGAAAUGCCUCCACAACAUUUGCAUCCAGCUGUUGGGGUACCUAAAAAGCUGAUAUGUAUUCGGCGCGCAGGAAGGUUGGUACACACAAAAUUAAAGCUCUUAACCAAAUAUUUCCUGUCCUAUAUUUGUUAGUUACUAUCUAUUCUUCUGACUCAUCACUACUGGAACUGCUUCUUUUUCUUAGAAAUCACUUUGUCAUGCUUGUUGAUGACUUGAAAUAUAGAGAAAAAUGCUCUGCAAAGCACACUAGAAUGUACAAUUAUAGCCAGGAAAUGCCUAAGUACCAAACCAAGUAAAUUAGUAAAACUUUUUAGGUUGCAUAUCUGCUUUAGAAAAUUUAGGGGAAUCAUCUUUCAGCUCCAAAGUUGACCACUUCUAUAAAGAAAUAUUCCAUGUGUUUUAGAAUGUAUAUAGAAUGACAGUUUGUCAAAGCAAUUAGCUAUAGAGGGGAAUAACUUAGAAUUGAAAAAGGGUAGGAAUGGCUUAAUCAUCCAUUUGUAAAGUUGUUAUGGAUUAAAGAAUUCUUAGGACAAUUUUUCUUAAUCAAACCUUCAGGACCGCACAUGUGUUCUAUGAGAUUUAUAUCAGAAACUUUGGAUUUGCAAUCCUCUUCGCCAUUGCUGCAUGACUUGACCUAUCAGAGCUGAUCCAGUGCAGCCAGAUCUGGCACUGAAUCCUUUUUUUUUUUUUAAUUUUCUGUUAAAAAGCAAAUAUUAUUUAGGUUUUUUUGGGAAACUGGAAUUGGAUGAGUCUUGUCGAGUGACUAUUUAUUGAUUCGACACUACACGAAUUUAUCAAUUGUGUAGUGUCCUAAGUUUUGUACGAAAAAAACGGUGGGAAUGUUGUGAAUUACAAUAAAUUUCAAAAACACCCUUAUUAGAUGUAAUUAAGUGUUGACAUUUAGUUGUUUUUUAUUAUUUUUAUUAUUUUG